GUAAGCUAGUGGCGAACGGGUGAGUAACACGUAGGUAAUCUACCCUUCAGACGGGAACAACCCAGGGAAACUUGGGCUAAUGCCCGAUAAGACCACGGGGCGGGAGCUCUGGGGUCAAAGGCUGGGCGAAAGUCUGGCGCUGGGGGAUGAGCCUGCGGCCUAUCAGCUAGUUGGCGGGGUAAGAGCCCACCAAGGCGAAGACGGGUAGCCGGCCUGAGAGGGUGAUCGGCCACACUGGGACUGAGACACGGCCCAGACUCCUACGGGAGGCAGCAGUGAGGAAUUUUCCGCAAUGGGCGCAAGCCUGACGGAGCGACGCCGCGUGAGGGAUGAAGGCCUUCGGGUUGUAAACUUCUUUUGCUGGGGAAAAAGGUGUUCGUGCUCAUACCACGGAUACUUGAUGGUACUCAGCGAAUAAGCCCCGGCUAACUACGUGCCAGCAGCCGCGGUAAUACGUAGGGGGCGAGCGUUGUCCGGAGUUACUGGGCGUAAAGGGCGUGUAGGCGGUUGGGUAAGUCUUGUGUGAAAUGCUCUGGCUCAACCAGAGCCCUGCGCAGGAUACUGUCUGACUGGAAUUCGGAAAGGGGUGACUGGAAUUCCCGGUGUAACGGUGAAAUGUGUAGAUAUCGGGGAGGAACACCUGUGGCGAAAGCGGGUCACUGGUCCGACAUUGACGCUGAGACGCGAAGCGUGGGGAGCAAACAGGAUUAGAUACCCUGCUAGUCACGCUGUAAACGAUG
rnacentral:rRNA from 1 species